rnacentral:misc_RNA from 1 species
GAAAUGCGAUAAGUAAUGUGAAUUGCAGAAUUCAGUGAAUCAUCGAAUCUUUGAACGCACCUUGCGCUCCUUGGUAUUCCUUGGAGCAUGCCUGUUUGAGUAUCAUGAAAUCUUCAAAGUAAAUCUUUUGUUAACUCAAUUGGUUUCUACUUUGGUAUUGGAGGUCUUUGCAGCUUCACACCUGCUCCUCUUUGUUCAUUAGCUGGAUCUCAGUGUUAUGCUUGGUUCCACUCGGCGUGAUAAGUUAUCUAUCGCUGAGGACACUAAAAGGUGGCCAAGGUAAAUGCAGAUGAACCGCUUCUAAUAGUCCAUUGACUUGGACAAUACUUUUAUGAUCUGAUCUCAAAUCAGGUAGGACUACCCGCUGAACUUAAGC